rnacentral:rRNA from 1 species
AAGGUUAAGCCUCACGGUUCAUUAGUACCGGUUAGCUCAACGCAUCGCUGCGCUUACACACCCGGCCUAUCAACGUCGUCGUCUUCAACGUUCCUUCAGGACUCUCAAGGAGUCAGGGAGAACUCAUCUCGGGGCAAGUUUCGUGCUUAGAUGCUUUCAGCACUUAUCUCUUCCGCAUUUAGCUACCGGGCAGUGCCAUUGGCAUGACAACCCGAACACCAGUGAUGCGUCCACUCCGGUCCUCUCGUACUAGGAGCAGCCCCCCUCAGUUCUCCAGCGCCCACGGCAGAUAGGGACCGAACUGUCUCACGACGUUCUAAACCCAGCUCGCGUACCACUUUAAAUGGCGAACAGCCAUACCCUUGGGACCUACUUCAGCCCCAGGAUGUGAUGAGCCGACAUCGAGGUGCCAAACACCGCCGUCGAUAUGAACUCUUGGGCGGUAUCAGCCUGUUAUCCCCGGAGUACCUUUUAUCCGUUGAGCGAUGGCCCUUCCAUUCAGAACCACCGGAUCACUAUGACCUGCUUUCGCACCUGCUCGCGCCGUCACGCUCGCAGUCAAGCUGGCUUAUGCCAUUGCACUAACCUCCUGAUGUCCGACCAGGAUUAGCCAACCUUCGUGCUCCUCCGUUACUCUUUAGGAGGAGACCGCCCCAGUCAAACUACCCACCAGACACUGUCCGCAACCCGGAUUACGGGUCAACGUUAGAACAUCAAACAUUAAAGGGUGGUAUUUCAAGGUCGGCUCCAUGCAGACUGGCGUCCACACUUCAAAGCCUCCCACCUAUCCUACACAUCAAGGCUCAAUGUUCAGUGUCAAGCUAUAGUAAAGGUUCACGGGGUCUUUCCGUCUUGCCGCGGGUACACUGCAUCUUCACAGCGAGUUCAAUUUCACUGAGUCUCGGGUGGAGACAGCCUGGCCAUCAUUACGCCAUUCGUGCAGGUCGGAACUUACCCGACAAGGAAUUUCGCUACCUUAGGACCGUUAUAGUUACGGCCGCCGUUUACCGGGGCUUCGAUCAAGAGCUUCGCUUGCGCUGACCCCAUCAAUUAACCUUCCGGCACCGGGCAGGCGUCACACCGUAUACGUCCACUUUCGUGUUUGCACAGUGCUGUGUUUUUAAUAAACAGUUGCAGCCAGCUGGUAUCUUCGACUGAUUUCAGCUCCAUCCGCGAGGGACUUCACCUACAUAUCAGCGUGCCUUCUCCCGAAGUUACGGCACCAUUUUGCCUAGUUCCUUCACCCGAGUUCUCUCAAGCGCCUUGGUAUUCUCUACCUGACCACCUGUGUCGGUUUGGGGUACGAUUUGAUGUUACCUGAUGCUUAGAGGCUUUUCCUGGAAGCAGGGCAUUUGUUGCUUCAGCACCGUAGUGCCUCGUCAUCACGCCUCAGCCUUAGUUUUCCGGAUUUGCCUGGAAAACCAGCCUACACGCUUAAACCGGGACAACCGUCGCCCGGCCAACAUAGCCUUCUCCGUCCCCCCUUCGCAGUAACACCAAGUACAGGAAUAUUAACCUGUUUCCCAUCGACUACGCCUUUCGGCCUCGCCUUAGGGGUCGACUCACCCUGCCCCGAUUAACGUUGGACAGGAACCCUUGGUCUUCCGGCGAGCGGGCUUUUCACCCGCUUUAUCGUUACUUAUGUCAGCAUUCGCACUUCUGAUACCUCCAGCAUGCCUCACAGCACACCUUCACAGGCUUACAGAACGCUCCCCUACCCAACAACGCAUCAGCGUCGCUGCCGCAGCUUCGGUGCAUGGUUUAGCCCCGUUACAUCUUCCGCGCAGGCCGACUCGACCAGUGAGCUAUUACGCUUUCUUUAAAUGAUGGCUGCUUCUAAGCCAACAUCCUGGCUGUCUGGGCCUUCCCACAUCGUUUCCCACUUAACCAUGACUUUGGGACCUUAGCUGGCGGUCUGGGUUGUUUCCCUCUUCACGACGGACGUUAGCACCCGCCGUGUGUCUCCCGUGAUAACAUUCUCCGGUAUUCGCAGUUUGCAUCGGGUUGGUAAGUCGGGAUGACCCCCUUGCCGAAACAGUGCUCUACCCCCGGAGAUGAAUUCACGAGGCGCUACCUAAAUAGCUUUCGGGGAGAACCAGCUAUCUCCCGGUUUGAUUGGCCUUUCACCCCCAGCCACAAGUCAUCCGCUAAUUUUUCAACAUUAGUCGGUUCGGUCCUCCAGUUAGUGUUACCCAACCUUCAACCUGCCCAUGGCUAGAUCACCGGGUUUCGGGUCUAUACCCUGCAACUUAACGCCCAGUUAAGACUCGGUUUCCCUUCGGCUCCCCUAUUCGGUUAACCUUGCUACAGAAUAUAAGUCGCUGACCCAUUAUACAAAAGGUACGCAGUCACACGCCUAAGCGUGCUCCCACUGCUUGUACGUACACGGUUUCAGGUUCUUUUUCACUCCCCUCGCCGGGGUUCUUUUCGCCUUUCCCUCACGGUACUGGUUCACUAUCGGUCAGUCAGGAGUAUUUAGCCUUGGAGGAUGGUCCCCCCAUAUUCAGACAGGAUACCACGUGUCCCGCCCUACUCAUCGAGCUCACAGCAUGUGCAUUUUUGUGUACGGGGCUGUCACCCUGUAUCGCGCGCCUUUCCAGACGCUUCCACUAACACACACACUGAUUCAGGCUCUGGGCUCCUCCCCGUUCGCUCGCCGCUACUGGGGGAAUCUCGGUUGAUUUCUUUUCCUCGGGGUACUUAGAUGUUUCAGUUCCCCCGGUUCGCCUCAUUAACCUAUGGAUUCAGUUAAUGAUAGUGUGACGAAUCACACUGGGUUUCCCCAUUCGGAAAUCGCCGGUUAUAACGGUUCAUAUCACCUUACCGACGCUUAUCGCAGAUUAGCACGUCCUUCAUCGCCUCUGACUGCCAGGGCAUCCACCGUGUACGCUUAGUCGCUUAA